rnacentral:rRNA from 1 species
UCUGGUGACCAUAGCAUGGUGGAACCACCCGGUCCCAUUCCGAACCCGGAAGUGAAACACUGUUGCGCCGAUGGUAGUGGGGCGACAGGCCCUGUGAGAGUAGGUCGUUGCCAGGU